rnacentral:rRNA from 1 species
UACGUAGGGGGCUAGCGUUGUCCGGAUUUAUUGGGCGUAAAGAGCGUGUAGGCGGCCAGGUAGGUCUGGUGUGAAAACUCGAGGCUUAACCUUGAGAUGUCAUCGGAAACCAUUUGGCUAGAGUCCGGAAGAGGAAAGUGGAAUUCACGGUGUAGCAGUGAAAUGCGUAGAUAUCGUGAGGAAGACCAGUGGCGAAGGCGGGUCUCUGGACAGUUCCUGACACUGAGGCACGAAGGCCAGGGGAGCAAACGGG